rnacentral:rRNA from 1 species
UGAUCCUGGCUCAGGAUGAACGCUAGCGGCAGGCCUAAUACAUGCAAGUCGAACGCUCAGUAGCAAUACUGGGAGUGGCGCACGGGUGCGUAACACGUACACAACCUACCUUUAAGCGGGGGAUACCUCCGGGAAACUGGGAUUAAUACCCCAUAGUAUUAGGAAGUUGCAUGACUUUUUAAUUAAAACUACGGUGCUUAAAGAUGGGUGUGCGUCCCAUUAGGUAGUUGGAGUGGUAACGGCACACCAAGCCUACGAUGGGUAGCCGGUCUGAGAGGAUGAUCAGCCACACGGGCACUGAGACACGGGCCCGACUCCUACGGGAGGCAGCAGUAAGGAAUAUUGGUCAAUGGACGAAAGUCUGAACCAGCCAUGCCGCGUGAAGGAUGAAGGCCCUCUGGGUUGUAAACUUCUUUUAUAUGGGACGAAAAAAGGGAAUUCCUUCCCACUUGACGGUACCCUAGGAAUAAGCACCGGCUAACUCCGUGCCAGCAGCCGCGGUAAUACGGAGGGUGCAAGCGUUAUCCGGAUUCACUGGGUUUAAAGGGUGCGUAGGUGGGUUGGUAAGUCAGUGGUGAAAUCCCCGAGCUUAACUUGGGAACUGCCAUUGAUACUAUUAAUCUUGAAUACCGUGGAGGUCGGCGGAAUAUGUCAUGUAGCGGUGAAAUGCUUAGAUAUGACAUAGAACACCAAUUGCGAAGGCAGCUGGCUACACGAGUAUUGACACUGAGGCACGAAAGCGUGGGGAUCAAACAGGAUUAGAUACCCUGGUAGUCCACGC